UUACUUGUAAGGGGGCAUCUUACAGGCAAGAGGAGUUAGGUGAAUGUGAAGAGGAAGGAACUACUCUGGGCAGGGGGCUGGGGGACGCUUCGUAGAGGAGGGGGUGUUUGAGCUGGGCCUUGAAGGUCAAAAGGGUUUUGUUAGGUGGGAAAUGGGGGAAGGACAGUCUGAAAGGGUUAGGUACAUUCAAGGAGCCCAGAGAAGGUUCGUGGCUGGAGCAGACGCAUUCGUAGAGUGAAGUCAUGGGAGAGAAGAGGCUGGGAAACUAGAUUGGUUCCAACUCCUAAAGGACCACUGAAGGAGUGUGGGCUGCACGCUGGGUGCAGCAGGUGAGUUUCCUCACUUGGGUUUCACUGUCAGCAUUUUAAAAAGGCAAACUGGUUUUCUUCCUGAGAAGAAUUCAUUGAUUCACUUGUGGCCAGUAAGUCAUCUGGGCCAGAGGUUGGUGGGGAGAUGAUAGGGGUGCAAGUGUCAUCUUCAAUCACAGCAUAACUGCCCUUGCUUUCUUACCUCUCGUUUAGAUAUUUCAAUGCUUGCUCAGGUCCCCUGCGCCCUCCUUCCUUCUCCCUUCCCAGCCAUACUACUUAUGGGAUGACUUUCUCUUUGUAAAAUGACCGUUAGUCUUAUCAAAUUAAUCCCAAAGUAAUACCAUCAAUUUCCCCCUAAAAUACCAACAAGACCCCUGCUUGAAACUGCUUGUACAUUAGAGACAGAGAAGAGUCCAUGAGAAUCAACAUUUUCUGAGGACUCCAACUGUGUGCCAAGAGAGUUCCCCUGCUGGUGCCUCCUCUGUAGUAAAGGAAAGGCUCCUGGGACCACAUUAUCAUUCUCUUCACUCGAGAGAUGAGGACACUGAAAUUCAGAGAGGGGAAGUGAUUUGCCUCAGCUUGUACUGGUUUCACUUUGUCACUCAGGCUGGAGUGCAGUGAUGUGAUCAUAGCUUUCUGCAGCCUUGACUUCCGGGCUCAAGUGAUCCUCCCACCUCCGCCUCCUUAGUAGCUAGGACCACAGGCAUGCACCAGCACACCCAGCAAAUUAAAAAAAAAUUUUUUUUAAAGAUGAGAUCUCACUAUGUUGCCCAGGCUGGUCUGAAAUUCCUGUCCUCAAGCAAUCCUCCUGCCUUAGCCUCCCAAAGUGCUGAGAUUACAGGCAUGAGCUACCAUGCCUGGCCUAAAACAUUUUUAAUGGAAGUAUAAUUUGCAAACAGAAAACAUGCCCAAAUAUUAAGUGAAUGCACUGAUGAACAUUCACAACUUAACAAGAUAGCCAGCACUUAAAUCACAAAAUAGAACACCGCUAGGACCUCUUUGUAAUACCCUCCAAGUCACUACUUCUGCCCAAAGGUAAUCGCUAUUUUGCAACAUUUUUUAUUACUUUAUAUAAAUGAGAUCGUACACUGCGUAAUCUUAUUACUGUCUGGAUUUUUAUAUUAAAUAUUGCUUGUGAGAUUCAUCCAUGUUGUCAUGUCAGCAAUACUUUAUUCUCAUUGCCAUAUACUAUUCCAUUUUUAUCAGUAUACCAUGAUAUAUUUACCCAUUCUGCUAUUUGUACAUACUGGAAUUGUUCCCAGGUUUUUGUAAUACAAGCAAAGCUGCUAUG
rnacentral:lncRNA from 10 species